CUACGGGUUGCUGCAGUGAGGAAUAUUGCACAAUGGGGGGAACCCUGAUGCAGCAACGCCGCGUGGAGGAUGACGCAUUUCGGUGUGUAAACUCCUUUUAUAUGUCAAGAAAAUGACGGUAGCAUAUGAACAAGCACCGGCUAACUCCGUGCCAGCAGCCGCGGUAAUACGGAGGGGGCAAGCGUUACUCGGAAUCACUGGGCGUAAAGGACGCGUAGGCGGGUUGGAAAGUCAGGUGUGAAAUCCUACAGCUUAACUGUAGAACUGCACUUGAAACUUCUAAUCUAGAGUAUGGGAGGGGGAGAUGGAAUUAGUGGUGUAGGGGUAAAAUCCGUAGAUAUCACUAGGAAUACCUAAAGCGAAGGCGAUCUCCUGGAACAUUACUGACGCUAAGGCGUGAAAGCGUGGGGAGCAAACAGGAUUAGAUACCCUGGUAGUC
rnacentral:rRNA from 1 species